rnacentral:rRNA from 1 species
UGGGGAAUAUUGCACAAUGGGGGAAACCCUGAUGCAGCGACGCCGCGUGAGCGAAGAAGGCUUUCGAGUCGUAAAGCUCUGUCCUAUGAGAAGAUAAUGACGGUAUCAUAGGAGGAAGCCCUGGCUAAAUACGUGCCAGCAGCCGCGGUAAUACGUAUGGGGCGAGCGUUGUCCGGAAUUAUUGGGCGUAAAGGGUACGUAGGCGGAUAAGCAAGUUAGAAGUGAAAUCCUAUAGCUCAACUAUAGUAAGCUUUUAAAACUGCUCAUCUUGAGGUAUGGAAGGGAAAGUGGAAUUCCUAGUGUAGCGGUGAAAUGCGCAGAUAUUAGGAGGAAUACCGAUGGCGAAGGCGACUUUCUGGCCAUAUACUGACGCUGAGGUACGAAAGCGUGGGUAGCAAACAGG